rnacentral:tRNA from 1 species
AGUUGUAUGGCUGAAAGGAAAGUAGAUGUUUUGAAAAUAUCCUAUAAAGGUUCGAAUCCUCUUGCAAUUU